rnacentral:rRNA from 1 species
UGGCGGCGUGCCUAACACAUGCAAGUCGAGCGGGGACAUUGCGACGGAGACGAAGUACUCGUACGGAGUCAAAGAUGUAAUGUUCUAGCGGCGGACGGGUGAGUAACGCGUGAGCAACCUGUCCCUUACAGGGGGAUAACACAGCGAAAGUUGUACUAAGUACCGCAUAAGACCACAGAGUGACAUCGCUCAGGGGUCAAAGGAGCAAUCCGGUAAGGGGUGGGCUCGCGUCCGAUUAGAUAGUUGGUGAGGUAACGGCCCACCAAGUCGACGAUCGGUAGCCGACCUGAGAGGGUGAUCGGCCACAUUGGGACUGAGACACGGCCCAAACUCCUACGGGAGGCAGCAGUGGGGAAUAUUGGGCAAAUGGGGGAAACCCUGACCCAGCAACGCCGCGUGAGGGAAGAAGGUUUUCGGAUCGUAAACCUCUGUCCCAGGUGAAGAGGAAGAGACGGUAGCCUGGGAGGAAGCCCCGGCUAACUACGUGCCAGCCGCGGC